rnacentral:misc_RNA from 1 species
GAUGAAGAACGUAGCGAAAUGCGAUAAGUAAUGUGAAUUGCAGAAUUCAGUGAAUCAUCGAAUCUUUGAACGCACAUUGCGCCCGUCAGUAUUCUGGCGGGCAUGCCUGUUCGAGCGUCAUUACGCCCCUCAAGUCCCCUGUGGACUUGGUGUUGGGGAUCGGCGAGGCUGGUUUUCCAGCACAGCCGUCCCUUAAAUUAAUUGGCGGUCUCGCCGUGGCCCUCCUCUGCGCAGUAGUAAAACACUCGCAACAGGAGCCCGGCGCGGUCCACUGCCGUAAAACCCCCCAACUUUUUAUAGUUGACCUCGAAUCAGGUAGGACUACCCGCUAACUUAAGCAUAUCAAUAAGCGGAGGA